rnacentral:tRNA from 1 species
GCCUUGGUAGUAUAAUAGAUAAUGACGGCAGACCGGAUACCUGUAGGUGCGAGCUCGAGUCCCGCCUAAGGUU